GCCUGUAAUCUCAGCUACUAGGGAUGCUGAGGCAGGAGAAUCGCUUGAACCCAAGAAAGAGGUGGAGGUUGCGGUGAGCCAAGAUUGCGCCACUGCACUCCAGCCUGGGCAAACAGAGGGAGACUCCAUCGCCCCCCCCAACAAAAAAAAAAGUUUCCCAUACACUGGCCUGCCCCAAAACCCACUAACAAUUUUAGCAAAACAGUCCAGGCCAAAGAGGAAGCAUUUCAUGUUCAAUAAGAAACCCAGCCAUUCCGCAUGGCUGGUUCCUGAGUGGCUCUGGUGAUACUCUCCAGCCACCUGCUGACAUUCAGAAUCUCAGACCUCGGGACUGCUGUUGCGGUACCGUGUGUCUGACACCUGCCAGCAGCCCUUUGCUAUCUGCGCGCAGGAUGGGGGUGACUGCCCAGACAUUCCCGCUAGAUAGGCUCUGAUUUCCGGGGCAGCCUUUCAGAUGCGGCAGACAUACAACACCUGUACUUUAGAGUUUUAAGGGAAAAAAAAUCAGAAGUGCUGGUUAGAUAGUAAAAACUUAGGAUAACUUAGAAAGGCUAGUUUUAGCUUCCUUUGUGGCUCCCUGGUGCAAAACAAUUAGCAGUUAUGCAAUGGACCUGAUUCUAGUUUAUUCUAAUUAAGAAGUGAGGCCGAGUUUGACUUCGUUCCUGAAUACAAUCUUGAGUAACUGGGAAAGUCUGAGUGAAAGGAUGGCCUCAUUCUCUUUCUAAUCUUGCUGGUUUCAAGAUUAGAAAAUGGCAUUAUUUGAUCUGAAAUGUUUGAGAAGACACGAAUAAAGUUACUUGGGCAG
rnacentral:lncRNA from 10 species